rnacentral:rRNA from 1 species
CAGUCGCCGCGGUAAUACGUAGGGUGCAAGCGUUAAACGGAAUUACUGGGCGUAAAGCGUGCGCAGGCGGUUAUAUAAGACAGAUGUGAAAUCCCCGGGCUCAACCUGGGAACUGCAUUUGUGACUGUAUAGCUAGAGUACGGCAGAGGGGGAUGGAAUUCCGCGUGUAGCAGUGAAAUGCGUAGAUAUGCGGAGGAACACCGAUGGCGAAGGCAAUCCCCUGGGCCUGUACUGACGCUCAUGCACGAAAGCGUGGGGAGCAAACAGGAUUAGAUACCCCUGUAGUCCCUGUCUCUUAUAC